rnacentral:rRNA from 1 species
GAUGAACGCUAGCGGCAGGCUUAACACAUGCAAGUCGAGGGGCAGCGGGGAGUAGCAAUACUCUGCCGGCGACCGGCGAAAGGGUGCGUAACGCGUGAGCAACUUGCCCGUAUCUGGGACAUAAGCGAUGGAAACGCCGUCUAAUUUCCCAUAACAACAGAGGCCGCAUGACCUUUGUUUGAAAGAUCCGUCGGAUACGGAUGGGCUCGCGAGACAUUAGCUAGUUGGUGUGGUAACGGCACACCAAGGCGACGAUGUCUAGGGGUUCUGAGAGGAAGGUCCCCCACACUGGAACUGAGACACGGUCCAGACUCC